rnacentral:rRNA from 1 species
AGAGUUUGAUCAUGGCUCAGAACGUACGCUGGCGGCACGCCUAACACAUGCAAGUCGAACGAAGUAGCAAUACUUAGUGGCAGACGGGUGAGUAACAUGUGGGUAUCUGCCCUUUGGCCUGGAAUAACACGAGGAAACUUGUGCUAAUACUGGAUAAGUCUUUACGGAGAAAGCUUUAUGCACCAUUGGAUGAGCCCGCACUUGAUUAGUUUGUUGGUGGGGUAAUGGCCUACCAAGACUGUGAUCAAUAGCUGAUUUGAGAGGAUGAUCAGCCACAUUGGGACUGAGACACGGCCCAAACUCCUACGGGAGGCAGCAGUGGGGAAUCUUGCACAAUGGAGGAAACUCUGAUGCAGCGAUGCCGCGUGAGUGAAGAAGGCCCUUGGGUUGUAAAGCUCUUUCGUCGGGGAAGAAAAUGACUGUACCCGAAUAAGAAGGUCCGGCUAACUUCGUGCCAGCAGCCGCGGUAAUACGAAGGGACCUAGCGUAGUUCGGAAUUACUGGGCUUAAAGAGUUCGUAGGUGGUUGAAAAAGUUGGUGGUGAAAUCCCAGAGCUUAACUCUGGAACUGCCAUCAAAACUUUUCAGCUAGAGUUUGAUAGAGGAAAGCAGAAUUUCUAGUGUAGAGGUGAAAUUCGUAGAUAUUAGAAAGAAUACCAAUUGCGAAGGCAGCUUUCUGGAUCAUUACUGACACUGAGGAACGAAAGCAUGGGUAGCGAAGAGGAUUAGAUACCCUCGUAGUCCAUGCCGUAAACGAUGUGUGUUAGACGUUGGAAAUUUAUUUUCAGUGUCGCAGCGAAAGCGAUAAACACACCGCCUGGGGAGUACGACCGCAAGGUUAAAACUCAAAUGAAUUGACGGGGACCCGCACAAGUAGUGGAGCAUGUGGUUUAAUUCGAAGAUACGCGCAGAACCUUACCAACACUUGACAUGUUCGUCGCGACUUUAAGAGAUUAAAGUUUUCGGUUCGGCCGGACGAAACACAGGUGCUGCAUGGCUGUCGUCAGCUCGUGUCGUGAGAUGUUGGGUUAAGUCCCGCAACGAGCGCAACCCUCACUUUUAGUUGCCAUCAUUAAGUUGGGCACUCUGAAAGAACUGCCAGUGAUAAGCUGGAGGAAGGUGGGGAUGACGUCAAGUCCUCAUGGCCCUUACGUGUUGGGCUACACACGUGCUACAAUGGUAUCUACAACAGGAAGCGAAACAGCGAUGUUAAGCAAAUCCUUAAAAGAUACCUCAGUUCGGAUUGCACUCUGCAACUCGAGUGCAUGAAGCUGGAAUUACUAGUAAUCGUGGAUCAGCGUGCCACGGUGAAUGCGUUCCCGGGUCUUGUACACACCGCCCGUCACACCAUGGGAGUUGGUUCUACCUUAAGGCAAGGUUUAAUACCCUUGACCACGGUAUAGUCAGCGACUGGGGUGAAGUCAUAACAAGGUAGCCGUA